GUCAGCGGCCAUGGCAGGGGGGGUACGCCCGGUCCCGUUCCGAACCCGGAAGCUAAGCCCCCGAGCGCCGAGAGUACUGCGGU
rnacentral:rRNA from 1 species